GAAGAGAGGAGCUUGCUCUUCUUGGAUGAGUUGCGAACGGGUGAGUAACGCGUAGGUAACCUGCCUUGUAGCGGGGGAUAACUAUUGGAAACGAUAGCUAAUACCGCAUAACAAUGGAUGACACAUGUCAUUUAUUUGAAAGGGGCAAUUGCUCCACUACAAGAUGGACCUGCGUUGUAUUAGCUAGUAGGUGAGGUAAUGGCUCACCUAGGCGACGAUACAUAGCCGACCUGAGAGGGUGAUCGGCCACACUGGGACUGAGACACGGCCCAGACUCCUACGGGAGGCAGCAGUAGGGAAUCUUCGGCAAUGGGGGCAACCCUGACCGAGCAACGCCGCGUGAGUGAAGAAGGUUUUCGGAUCGUAAAGCUCUGUUGUAAGUCAAGAACGGGUGUGAGAGUGGAAAGUUCACACUGUGACGGUAGCUUACCAGAAAGGGACGGCUAACUACGUGCCAGCAGCCGCGGUAAUACGUAGGUCCCGAGCGUUGUCCGGAUUUAUUGGGCGUAAAGCGAGCGCAGGCGGUUUGAUAAGUCUGAAGUUAAAGGCUGUGGCUCAACCAUAGUUCGCUUUGGAAACUGUCAAACUUGAGUGCAGAAGGGGAGAGUGGAAUUCCAUGUGUAGCGGUGAAAUGCGUAGAUAUAUGGAGGAACACCGGUGGCGAAAGCGGCUCUCUGGUCUGUAACUGACGCUGAGGCUCGAAAGCGUGGGGAGCGAACAGGAUUAGAUACCCUGGUAGUCCACGCCGUAAACGAUGAGUGCUAGGUGUUGGAUCCUUUCCGGGAUUCAGUGCCGCAGCUAACGCAUUAAGCACUCCGCCUGGGGAGUACGACCGCAAGGUUGAAACUCAAAGGAAUUGACGGGGGCCCGCACAAGCGGUGGAGCAUGUGGUUUAAUUCGAAGCAACGCGAAGAACCUUACCAGGUCUUGACAUCCCGAUGCUAUUUCUAGAGAUAGAAAGUUACUUCGGUACAUCGGUGACAGGUGGUGCAUGGUUGUCGUCAGCUCGUGUCGUGAGAUGUUGGGUUAAGUCCCGCAACGAGCGCAACCCCUAUUGUUAGUUGCCAUCAUUCAGUUGGGCACUCUAGCGAGACUGCCGGUAAUAAACCGGAGGAAGGUGGGGAUGACGUCAAAUCAUCAUGCCCCUUAUGACCUGGGCUACACACGUGCUACAAUGGUUGGUACAACGAGUUGCGAGUCGGUGACGGCGAGCUAAUCUCUUAAAGCCAAUCUCAGUUCGGAUUGUAGGCUGCAACUCGCCUACAUGAAGUCGGAAUCGCUAGUAAUCGCGGAUCAGCACGCCGCGGUGAAUACGUUCCCGGGCCUUGUACACACCGCCCGUCACACCACGAGAGUUUGUAACACCCGAAGUCGGUGAGGUAACCUUUG
rnacentral:rRNA from 1 species